AUUGAACGCUGGCGGCAGGCCUAACACAUGCAAGUCGAACGGUAACAGGAAGCAGCUUGCUGCUUUGCUGACGAGUGGCGGACGGGUGAGUAAUGUCUGGGAAACUGCCCGAUGGAGUGGGAUAACUACUGGAAACGGUAGCUAAUACCGCAUAACGUCGCAAGACCAAAGAGGGGGACCUUAGGGCCUCUUGCCAUCGGAUGUGCCCAGAUGGGAUUAGCUAGUAGGUGGGGUAACGGCUCACCUAGGCGACGAUCCCUAGCUGGUCUGAGAGGAUGACCAGCCACACUGGAACUGAGACACGGUCCAGACUCCUACGGGAGGCAGCAGUGGGGAAUAUUGCACAAUGGGCGCAAGCCUGAUGCAGCCAUGCCGCGUGUAUGAAGAAGGCCUUCGGGUUGUAAAGUACUUUCAGCGGGGAGGAAGGGAGUAAAGUUAAUACCUUUGCUCAUUGACGUUACCCGCAGAAGAAGCACCGGCUAACUCCGUG
rnacentral:rRNA from 1 species